CGGCAACAGCUCAAAUUUGAAAUCUGGGGCCUUCGGCUCCCGAGUUGUAAUUUGUAGAGGAUGCCUCGGGGGGUGCUUCGGCCCAAGUUCCUUGGAACAGGAUACCACAGAGGGUGAGAGUCCCGUAUCCGGCCGGCAGUACCCUCCGCGCGAGGCUCCUUCGAC
rnacentral:rRNA from 1 species